AUAGCGUAUAUUAAAGUUGUUGCAGUUAAAAAGCUCGUAGUUGAACUUCAGACCUGGCCGGGCGGUCCUCCUCACGGUGCGUACUGUCUGGCUGGGCCUUACCUCUUGGUGAGCCGGCAUGCCCUUUACUGGGUGUGUCGGGGAACCAGGACUUUUACCUUGAGAAAAUUAGAGUGUUCAAAGCAGGCCUACGCCCGAAUACAUUAGCAUGGCAUAAUAAAAUAGGACGUGCGUUUCUAUUUUGUUGGUUUCUAGAGUCGCCGUAAUGAUUAAUAGGGAUAGUUGGGGGCAUUAGUAUUCCGUUGCUAGAGGUGAAAUUCUUGGAUUUACGGAAGACUAACUUCUG
rnacentral:rRNA from 1 species